rnacentral:rRNA from 1 species
GAAGUCUAACAUGUGCGCGAGUCAUUGGGUUAAAAACCUAAAGGCGGAAUGAAAGUAAAGGGAGCUUUGCUUUCCGAGGGAGGAUGGGCACGUCAGCUCAAGGGCGGUGCCCCGCACUCCCGGGGCGUCUCCUUCUCAUUGCGAGUAGAGGCGCACCCAGAGCGUACACGUUAGGACCCGAAAGAUGGUGAACUAUGCCUGGUCAGGACGAAGCCAGGGGAAACCCUGGUGGAGGUCCGUAGCGAUUCUGACGUGCAAAUCGAUCGUCAGAGCUGGGUAUAGGGGCGAAAGACUAAUCGAACCAUCUAGUAGCUGGUUCCCUCCGAAGUUUCCCUCAGGAUAGCUGGUGCUCGCGUGAGACGAGUCUCAUCCGGUAAAGCGAAUGAUUAGAGGCCUUGGGGCCGAAACGACCUCAACCUAUUCUCAAACUUUAAAUAGAUGAGAACUCCGGCUUGCUUGAAAGUGAAGCCGGAGACUCGGAUCAGAGUGCCCAGUGGGCCAAUUUUG